rnacentral:rRNA from 1 species
UACGUAGGGGGCAAGCGUUGUCCGGAUUUAUUGGGUUUAAAGGGUGCGUAGGUGGGUUGAUAAGUCAGUGGUGAAAUCCCCGAGCUUAACUUGGGAACUGCCAUUGAUACUAUUGAUCUUGAAUACCGUGGAGGUCAGCGGAAUAUGUCAUGUAGCGGUGAAAUGCUUAGAUAUGACAUAGAACACCAAUUGCGAAGGCAGCUCACUACUCAAUUAUUGACUCUGAGGCACGAAAGCGUGGGGAUCAAACAGG